GCCGAGGUGGCGGAAUUGGUAGACGCAAGGGACUUAAAAUCCCUCGUCUUUUUAGACAUGUGAGUUCAAAUCUCACCCUCGGCA
rnacentral:tRNA from 1 species